AUUGAACGCUGGCGGCAUGCUUUACACAUGCAAGUCGAACGGUAACAGGGUGCUUGCACCGCUGACGAGUGGCGAACGGGUGGGUAAUGCGUCGGAACGUGCCGAGUAGUGGGGGAUAACGCAGCGAAAGUUGUGCUAAUACCGCAUACGUACUGAGGUAGAAAGUGGGGGACCUUCGGGCCUCACGCUAUUCGAGCGGCCGACGUCUGAUUAGCUAGUAGGUGAGGUAAAGGCUCACCUAGGCGACGAUCAGUAGCGGGUCUGAUAGGAUGAUCCGCCACACGGGGACGGAGACACGGCCCAGACUCCUACGGGAGGCAGCAGUGGGGAAUUUCGGACAAUGGGCGAAAGCCUGAUCCAGCCACGCCGCGUGUCUGAAGAAGGCCUUCGGGUUGUAAAGGACUUUUGUCAGGGAGGAAAUCCCUAGUGCUAAUAACACUGGGGGAUGACAGUACCUGAAGAAUAAGCACCGGCUAACUACGUGCCAGCCGCCGCCGUAA
rnacentral:rRNA from 1 species